GGCGGGCCCACGGCAAAUCGCUGCCCGGCCCUCCGUGCGUCAGGCUGGGGGGCGGCGGCGCGGGUGGCCCGGCCACCUCCCGGCACCCGCGGCCCGGCCCCGUCCGUGCGACCUCGCGUGCGCCCGUGGCGGCGCGGAGACCCCGCCCGGCGCGGAAGGGGGCGGGGCGCCUGGGAUUGACGUCCUGUGGUCCCCACCCGGCAGAGCCAGACCGCGUGGGUGGUGGAAGGUCCCUGUGCCAGCUCGGUGGAACUGAACUGGGUGUCUCUAUGAACUCAGACGGCAGAUAAUGGUAUUGGUAGAAACAUAACCCGGUUUAAAUUGCUUCUUCCCACAUGUCAGUCUUUCCAGCUGCCCUGGAGAGGUGCGGAGCAGUGUGGCCAGCAGCUGAAUGGCAGCCCACAGGAAGUUCCAUGGCUUGGAGUGAAGUCGCAGGAAGCGCCCUCAAUACAGAAGCAAAGAAUUGAUUUGGUUGGUUGGAUAAAGUGGAAAAUGGAAAGAAUUGCCUUUUGUAUUAAUCUAACUUUCCCUCUCCGUCUGAA